UACGUAGGGUGCAAGCGUUGUCCGGAAUUAUUGGGCGUAAAGAGCUCGUAGGCGGUUUGUCGCGUCUGCCGUGAAAGUCCGGGGCUCAACUCCGGAUCUGCGGUGGGUACGGGCAGACUAGAGUGAUGUAGGGGAGACUGGAAUUCCUGGUGUAGCGGUGAAGUGCGCAGAUAUCAGGAGGAACACCGGUGGCGAAGGCGGGUCUCUGGGCCGAUACUGACGCUGAGGAGCGAAAGCGUGGGGAGCGAACAGG
rnacentral:rRNA from 1 species